UCCGGUUUGUCACCGGCAGUCUCCUAUGAGUCCCCGACAUUACUCGCUGGCAACUAAGGACAGGGGUUGCGCUCGUUGCGCCACUUAAGGCAACACCUCACGGCACGAGCUGACGACAGCCAUGCACCACCUGUGCGGGCUCCGAGGAGCGCCGUAUCUCUACGGUUUCACCCCGCAUGUCAAGCCCAGGUAAGGUUCUUCGCGUCGCUUCGAAUUAAACCACAUGCUCCACCGCUUGUGCGGGCCCCCGUCAAUUCCUUUGAGUUUCAGCCUUGCGGCCGUACUCCCCAGGCGGGGUACUUAUUGCGUUAGCUUCGGCACGGAGAACGUGGAAUGUCCCCCACACCUAGUGCCCACCGUUUACAGCGUGGACUAC
rnacentral:misc_RNA from 1 species